GGCCGAUGACGAGCCAUCGUCCGGAGCCGGACUCGGCACCCGGCGAUGACGAUCCCUAUGAGUUCCGAGGCC
rnacentral:snoRNA from 1 species